UACGGAGGGUGCAAGCGUUGUCCGGAUUUAUUGGGUUUAAAGGGUGCGUAGGCGGCGUAGUAAGUCCGUGGUGAAAGCCAACAGCUCAACUGUUGAACUGCCAUGGAUACUGCUAGACUUGAGUACAGACGAGGUAGGCGGAAUGGAUAGUGUAGCGGUGAAAUGCAUAGAUACUAUCCAGAACACCGAUUGCGAAGGCAGCUUACUAGACUGUAACUGACGCUGAGGCACGAAAGCGUGGGGAGCGAACAGG
rnacentral:rRNA from 1 species